rnacentral:tRNA from 2 species
GGGUGAUUAGCUCAGUUGGUUCAGAGCGUCUGCCUUACAAGUAGAAUGUCACUGGUUCAAAUCCAGUAUCACCCA